UGUGUGUCUGCGUCUUCAUCCGGGUUUGUCAGGCCAGUGAGUGCUGGGUCUGUGUCUUGGAGGAAAGGGCUUUAGUGGGAUCUCCAUGAAGACCUGUGUACAAGGAGGGUUUCUGUACAGAGCAUGUCUGAGUGGGAGAGUGGCAGCAGAUUCCCAGCCAAGGCCAGCAGCCACCCCAGAUGACCUGCUGAUGCCUUUGCUGAAAUGAGUGGCUACUGGCCAACAGCUUGGUGAGAGUGUCAGCUCCCACCCAAGAGGAAAUCAGAGGAAAACGUCUGUAGUUUCCAAGAAGCACAACAGGAGCCACCUCUUUACUGCUUGCUCCUGAAGAGUUGUGCUCCCUGAACCCCACCCUGCAGGUGUUGGUUUGCCCAGAGCCCUGUCCUUAAGAUACCACAUGCAUUACC